CAGGUACUCCCUCCGUCCGAAAAUACUUGUCAUCAAAAUGGAUGAAAAGGGAUGCAUCUAGAGCUAAAAUACAUCUAGAUACAUCCCUUUUUAUUCUUUUUGAUGACAAAUAUUUUCGGACAGAGGGAGUAGUAG
rnacentral:pre_miRNA from 1 species